rnacentral:lncRNA from 1 species
ACAUACUAAUAAUUAAAUGGGUAUUUUGUGGAAAAUAAAAUAAAAUAAUAAAGCAUAAUCACCUCUUGGAGAUAAGAAGCCACCGCAAAAUGCAUAACCUUAUAGCUUUGAUUAUAAUCUCUAAAGGAAAAAUAUAUAUAUAUUGGAUUCACCGCUAUAUGGCUGACCGGCGAUUACUAGCGAUUCCGGCUUCAUGCAGGCGAGUUGCAGCCUGCAAUCCGAACUAAGGACGGGUUUUUGGAAUUAGCUCACCCUCGCGGAAUCGCGACCCUUUGUCCCGGCCAUUGUAGCACGUGUGUCGCCAGGGCAUAAGGGGCAUGAUGACUUGACGUCAUCUUCACCUUCCUCCAACUUAUCACCGGCAGUCUGUUUAGGGUUCCAAAUUCAACAAUGGCAACUACAAAAAGAGGGUUGCGCUCAUUGCAGGACUU